rnacentral:lncRNA from 1 species
CACUGACUUAAUUUUAGACUAUUAGACUACGAAAGUCACCCUAAAGUACAAUGGUGAUAUUAACAGUUAUUUGGAAAUCCCAUUACAUGUACUUGGCAUUAUUUAGGAGAAAUUUAUGAUUCUGGCUAUAUAAGACUGCUUAAAGUAUAAAUAAAAAGGGAUUUUCUAAAGAAAUAUAUGACAGUUCAACAAACCAAACCAUUAAAAAACACCCGACUCUUCCGAAAAAAAAGACACACAAUAAAAAAACGAACAACAACGAACAACGCACGGUCCAGAUAACUUGAUAAGCAUUCAUAUACUGGUACUAUAUAUGCACCACAUCAUAUAAAACUACUCGCAUACAUGUGUACCGAUUUUUGUCUAUUUAAUAUUGGUUGUAAAAUCUAAUGUUAUAGAUGAGUGUUUUAUUAUAUGAUGUUAUGUUCUGCCAUUUGUUUGAUAAAAAUCAU